UUUGUUCGUGUCAUAUAAUACAAUAACUGCAUUGAAAUUCAAUAUCAGAUGUGGCCAUUACCAAAUAUUCGAAUUAUUUUACAAAUAGUGUCAAAUAAAAAGUGUUUUAAAAACAUACAUGCUUACGGUUUUGCGACAACACUUAAAAAUACUACUAUAAGUACCUAUGAUGUGAAUUAUAGAGAAAUUACAGUACUCUACCAAUGAGGACGAAUGAAUCAGAGGUCACGAUUUGUUAUAACUUAAAUGUAUAAAAUAUUGAAGAUGUAUAGUGUAUAAAAUCACAUAAGUACAAUGCUACACCUACCUACAUGGCAAUAUGAAAAGUUAAGAUUAUAUACUUUCCAAAGAUACCAUUUACAAUACCUAAGUUUUUCACACAGCACAGAAACAUAUAAAUGAAAUCAUC